rnacentral:sRNA from 1 species
CAAUAAGCGGAGGAAAAGAAACUAACAAGGAUUCCCCUAGUAACUGCGAGUGAAGCGGGAAAAGCUCAAAUUUAAAAUCUGGCGGUCUCCGGCCGUCCGAGUUGUAAUCUAGAGAAGUGUUAUCCGCGCUGGACCGUGUACAAGUCUCCUGGAAUGGAGCGUCAUAGAGGGUGAGAAUCCCGUCUUUGACACGGACUGCCAGGGCUUUGUGAUGCGCUCUCAAAGAGUCGAGUUGUUUGGGAAUGCAGCUCAAAAUGGGUGGUAAAUUCCAUCUAAAGCUAAAUAUUGGCGAGAGACCGAUAGCGAACAAGUACCGUGAGGGAAAGAUGAAAAGAACUUUGGAAAGAGAGUUAAACAGUACGUGAAAUUGCUGAAAGGGAAACGCUUGAAGUCAGUCGCGUUGGCCGGGGAUCAACCUUGCUUUUGCUGGGCGUACUUUCCGGUUGACGGGUCAGCAUCAAUUUUGACCGUUGGAUAAAGUCCAGGGGAAUGUGGCAUCUUCGGAUGUGUUAUAGCCUUUGGUCGCAUACAACGGUUGGAAUUGAGGAACUCAGCACGCCGCAAGGCCGGGUACUUGUACCACGUUCGUGCUUAGGAUGCUGGCAUAAUGGCUUUAAUCGACCCGUCUUGAAACACGGACCAAGGAGUCUAACAUGCCUGCGAGUGUUUGGGUGGAAAACUCGGACGCGUAAUGAAAGUGAAAGUUGAGAUCCCUGUCGCGGGGAGCAUCGACGCCCGGACCAGACCUUUUGUGACGGAUCCGCGGUAGAGCAUGUAUGUUGGGACCCGAAAGAUGGUGAACUAUGCCUGAAUAGGGUGAAGCCAGAGGAAACUCUGGUGGAGGCUCGUAGCGAUUCUGACGUGCAAAUCGAUCGUCAAAUUUGGGUAUAGGGGCGAAAGACUAAUCGAACCAUCUAGUAGCUGGUUCCUGC